UACGUAGGGUGCAAGCGUUGUUCGGAAUUACUGGGCGUAAAGCGUGCGUAGGUGGUUUGUUAAGUCUGAUGUGAAAGCCCUGGGCUCAACCUGGGAAUUGCAUUGGAUACUGGCAGGCUAGAGUGCGGUAGAGGAUGGCGGAAUUCCCGGUGUAGCAGUGAAAUGCGUAGAGAUCGGGAGGAACAUCUGUGGCGAAGGCGGCCAUCUGGACCAGCACUGACACUGAGGCACGAAAGCGUGGGGAUCAAACAGG
rnacentral:rRNA from 1 species